ACCCAUGUCACAUCAGUUCUUGGACCAAAUAAAGAACUUUAAAAAUCAUGUUACCUCAUUGCUACCUGUAGCCCAUCAAGGACAAUAUGAAAAAAGAAGAAACAAAAGAACAAGCUCUAACUAUUUGCAAGCUGGCAAAUUAAAUCUCACAUGUACAUAGACAAACACGAUCAUAAUAACACCCGUGCCUCCUCCACAC
rnacentral:lncRNA from 1 species